rnacentral:lncRNA from 1 species
CACAGAAGACGAAGAGCUGGAAUAGAGCUCGCCUCGGCUCUGCUGGCCUUGGCUGCAGCUCUUCCAGAAACCCGGGGCGCCCACAGAAGAAUCUCUUACCUGGCUCUCUCUUCAGGGAUGACAUCAUCGGCUCACACCAGUCUUCCAGGACCACCUUCUGGAUGCCAAGGCUGCUGCUCGAGUACCUGCUGUGCACCUCUACCUCCUGAGCCAAGGAGCACGGAUUCCAGGAACCCACUACCAUACAGAGCAACUCCUUGUGGACCCCCCUGGGAUCAGGACAGCGAGGGACAAGCGACAAAGAGGAUCAUCAGUGGCCAGCUAGUUUCUCUGGGGUUCAAACCUUGAACCAGUGCCCUAGUGAGGGGGCACUGGCCAUGGCCCUUGACCUUUGCUCUGCUUGUGUCUUGAGUCUGAGCCCUUUCCUGUACAUCUGUGCUCGUGUUCAUCUGCUAGUGAACUGGAGUGCUGCCCUCCCCGAGGAGGGUCGUCCCUUGUGACUGAUCAUGCUGUCCUAACAAUGUCCUGAGCAAAAGGGUCCCUUUGGGAACCUCUCAGGAGGGGGACCCGGGUCAGGGGCGACCAGCAUCUUGCUGGCAACUCCGUGGGUGGGGUGGGGUGGGGUGCUUCCUUCUGGAAUGAGCACGUGGCUGACCCCCCAAGGCAUGUCCCCUCCCCCUCCUCCACCCACCUUCUCGGAGAUGUCCCUUUUGGGGUAGUGGGGACAUUAGGAGCAACCUCCUAGGGUUGUUGUGAGAAUUAAAUGAACUGCAGCAGCCUGAGGCAGGGCUGGGCAGAGACCUCAGCACAUGUUUGUUGAAAGGUUUGCAGGUGGAUCUAGUCCUCCCGUUCAUGGCUCAUGUGUCUCAACCAUUCUCUCGCAGACUCCUGCAGCCCCUAUGCCCAGGGCUCUCCUUGCGCCAGAGGUAGGUGGGAAAGAGAACUGGGAGAGCCCGGACUCACUCAUGAGAUUGAACUUAAAUUCACACGGAGGACACUUGGACUCUUGCCACAUUAGCCCCGGCUUCUCGAGGCCUGUCUACACUCGCUGCUUUCCUUCCUCACCUCCAAUUUCCCCUCCAACCCACUGCUUCCUGACUCGCUCUUCUCCAUCGAACGGCUCUCGCUCAGGCCUGUCGCGUCUUCCUGUGCCAUUUGCUGUUGUGCUCAGGUUCCACGAGCUGCCCAUCUCCACAGAAGAGCAGCUGGCAUUGCCCACCGGCCAUGCCGGCUGAAGAAAAGAAGACUGAGGACCCCAGGAUGCCCAGCGCGAGGACCCCAGGAAGCCCAGCGCGAGGACUCCACCCACGACGCCCAGCGCGAGGACUUCACGCACAACACGUUGCAACCCUCCUGGAUUAGGCCAAAGCCAUCAUCUGGAAUCCUGCGUGGGACCCUGGACACACGGACACAGACACCUGCCCCCAGGACCCUCCAACUGUAAAUCCCUCUACAGCCACGGGGACGCCUUGCACAUUUCCUGUGGGACAUGCUGGACCCAAGACUCUGGACCCUGGCCUCCCCUUGAGUAGAGAGACCCACCUACUGACUGAUGAACUGCGCUGACCCUGGGGUCAGGCAUGUGGCCUUGAUCCCUACCCAUGGACCCUGAGACUUGGGGGGGUGGGAGAAAGGCUGUUGUGUCUUCACUGUUGAGUCUACAUCUGUGAAAUGGGCUCAGGUUCCUACCUCACAGGGCUGUUGUGAGGCAGCCGCAAUGUGCUUAGAAGCAUGGGGCCUAGUGGCUCAUGGUGCUUUCAAUAAAUUUCUUGUUUUAACUAAAGCA